rnacentral:rRNA from 1 species
CCUACGGGAGACAGCAGUGGGGGAUAUUGCACAAUGGGGGGAACCCUGAUGCAGCGACGCCGCGUGGGUGAAGGAGCGUUUCGGCGCGUAAAGCCCUAUCGGCAGGGAAGAAGGGGGACGGUACCUGACUAAGAAGCCCCGGCCAAAUACGUGCCAGCAGCCGCGGUAAUACGUAGGGGGCAAGCGUUUUCCGGAUUUACUGGGUGUAAAGGGGGCGCAGAGGGUAGCGCAGUCCAGGAGUGAAAGGCCGGGGCCCAACCCCGGGCCGGCCUUUGAAACUGGGCGGCUGGAGUGCAGGAGGGGCAGGCGGAAUGCCUGGUGUAGCGGUGAAAUGCGUAGAUAUCAGGAGGAACACCGGUGGUGAAGGCGGCCUGCUGGACUGCGACUGACGUUGAGGCCCGAAAGCGUGGGGAGCAAACAGGAUUAGAUACCCCUGUAGUC